GCGACUCCCUCUUUUCUUCUUCCCGAGACCUCGCCGGCCACUAGGUUUAACCUAGCGCCAUCGCCCCUCUCCGAUUCUCUGUGCCGGCGACCGAGCCUCCCUUUCUCCCCACGGCAGAGCACCAUUUCUUCCUUUAUUGUGCCGUGUCUGGUUUAAAUUUGGCCGAGCCUUCUUCGGUGUCCUAGGUUUCGGUUGAGAAUCUGUGAAGUGGAUUUUAGCAGCAAAACUUUUAAAGCUUCAGCAGCAACGAUCCUUGUUAUUGAGCCAUAGCGACUGUGGUUAAGCAACCCUUUCAUUUACCGCAGCAAUUUAUCUUUGUUAGCAAUAAGUUUUGUUUUCCAGCAGCAUCUUGGUCCAGCGGCAGUAAGGACUUUGAUUCGGGACGGUAUCUCGACG